rnacentral:tRNA from 1 species
AGCCCUUUGGCCGACUAGGUAGUUGUUUUGAAAGCAUCGUAAGGUUGUUAAACCAACCAGGGGUUU